UGCUCUUUUUAUUUGAGUAGAACUUGAAAAAGAAAUGACUUUGUAUUUUGACCAUUAUUAUUGCUUUCCUUGCCCUGAUACAUUUAUCUGUUCAUUUUAAAUAAAAGGAUAUUUUUUCCUUCUCUGGUGCUGAGGGUAUAGAACCCCAGCUCAAAGGUGGCCCAGAGGGCUCCCAGCUGUCUAGGAGAAGAGUGAGCAGGAGGAGUUCCAGGUUUGAAUGGCGUCAUUUUCAUUGAGAUGAUACCGCAGAGCACAGAUGGGCCAGAGACUGGUUUUUACAUUUGAGUUAGGAAGUUAUUUAAAAAAAAAGUCACAGAGAAAACAAAUGAGAACAAAUUCCUAUCCUAUUUCAGCUUCUAGGUGACUGUUCAUUCGAUAUUGUCUAUAUUUGCACAGAAAGAUAAUGCCAGUGUGGUAAGCCUCAGGAAGGCCUGUGCCAGGAAUUAUUCUUUUCUAUUGUGGUAAAUGUUUUCCGGAAGCAUCUACACUCUCUUAUCACUCUGGUGACCCUUUGUGAUCAAGAGCACACAUGUCAGGUGGCCAUAAAACGGAGGUGGGAUCAAACAUUUUUUGUCAAUACGUUCUUGCUGGCUAAGCUAAUCAGUCACAUACUACAAAGCUAUGUUGAGGAAUUACUUACCAGUUCUCGGUUACUGAUUUUUGGAAAUGCUUUCAAAUAUGAGAACAAGCCCAUAAGGAACGACAAAUAAAAACAUGAACCGACAACAAAAGAAUUCCAAAAUAUGCAUAUACACAGAGUUGUACAGCAGUCAAGCAACACCUUUUUGAUGUCAGUAAGUUAUCCUAAGUCGUUAGUAACCACAAAGCAAGCUGCGAUCUGAUCUGAUCGGCCUUCAGUAGCCGCAGGCUUCUACACAGAAGUCUUGCUCAAAGCUGUCUGGGAUUUGCUGUAAGUUGUAUCAGAGAGUCCGCUCUUACUGAGCUGAAGACCACCAGAGAGAGAAGGGGGCUGCCUCAGCUCCCUGGCUAGUUUCUGCUGAGGGCAAAGGUCUCCGACUGGGUGAUUUGGUCCAGCCGAAAAGCAGUUUAACAAACCCUCAAAAGGAAGUGCUUUAUUAAAAGGGGGAUUUAAAAAGCUGAAUGGGGUUAACAGUAGGGUGCUAGAACCGGCUCUCGUUGCUAAAGUCGACUUUGCAAAUCUCUGCCCAAGUCUGUGUUCAGUGACAUUUCACUGAUAGCUUGAAACUGACCUUGGUGCCAGUGUUUACACCAUGGAAAUUGACAGAUGCUGUAAGUAAGUAGGUGUCUCCCCAGAGAGCCACCGUUAAGCAUUUCCGGCACACCUCUGCCCGCAGAGUCGUGCUACUCAAAAUGUGGUCCACAGAUAGAUGUCGAUUCACAAAGUAUUUGAUGGGUGUGUAGUGAGAUACAGUGUGAAAACUGAGAGUAAGCUUUUCGACACUUGUAUAGCAAUUUCACAGAAUAUUUUGUUGGUUGAACCUACAAAAAACCGUGGGCUUGUUUUUUGUGCACCUGGGUUUUUUUAUUUUCCUUUUUCUAAUAAUUCAUUUUUAUUGCAUUUUACCAAAGUAUUGAUCUGCAACAGAUUGGGCAUCAAACAAACACUCAAACAAACCGGUCCCUCACCAGAGACGCUUUGAGAAGCACUGAUAACGGUGCACCUGCAAAUCCAGUGGACAGGGCAGAGGCGCUGCACGUGAGGUUAAGAACUUAUUAGCGAGGUAACGGGAAGUUACAGGCUGCUUCAGAAAGCAAAAUGAUGUGAAGGGGCCAGAAGAGAAAAAAAGAAAUGUGGAAGGACCUAAACGUGGGACACAAAGGGACUCCUGCACAAUACAGGAUGGGAAGAGCGGACUUGUGGUUUUAACAGAAGGUAAUCUAUUUCUAUGAAGGUGUGUAUGACUAGAAGUCUGAUUUCCAGAACACUGGAAGGAUCAUUGUGCUGCAUUUCAUUCUGGACCCUUCUCUUUAAGGGGGGAAUUGCAGGGUGCUCCGAGGAGACAGAAACCAUAGGUUAUAAGGAGUGGUUUAAGAAAAGGGGAUGUUUAGUUUUCCAGAGGAUGAAGACAGAGGGGUUUUCAAUUGUUUUGAAGGCUACUGUGUAGAGCAUGGCAUGCACUUGUUCUUUGUGAGACUCCGUGGGAAAUCAUAGAAGUAAAAGCUCAGGGAGGCAUCAAGAAUAAUUCCUUAGUAGUCAGGUGUCCAAAGACUGACUAUGGGGACCUCACCGGGAAGUGAGCUCCCAGUCCCUGGAGGAGUUCAAGCACAGACCAGCUCAUCUUUUGGCUGGGAAGUUAUUGAAAUUGUACCACCAUCUUGAGGGGACCUGAAGUAAAUGACAAGAUUUCUUUCAAACUGGAGCUCCUGUGGCUUUAUGAAUAUAAAUAAAACCUAGAAAAUAAUUUGAGAAAAGACGCAUUGAGAACGAUACUAAAUAGAAGGAAGCCAAGAGAGGAAGCCAGGGAGAGCCUCCAACAAGGCUGUUUGGUAGCAGUGACGAAUGUUCCGGCAUCCUGGGAACGCAUUUUGGCACAGAGGAGGCAGAACUGCUAAUAGAGAGGUUUGCUACUGCUGCUUCCAGUCAAGCGGGCCCAGGAGUUCUGAGCUUACAAUGAAUAGCGGAGGUUGUGCUCCGCAGGGUGGGGUGCUACACAGGCUGGACUCCCCCACCAACACCAGACAGAUCCCUGGUCCGGGCUCGAGUCCUUCACAGGACAGAAGCACAAACCCAGGUGAAAACAAAGACGAUGAGAUGGAGAAUCAGUGCAGACACCUGAUGCGCCAUUAGAUCAAUCUCGUCACCAGGGAGGAAGGAAGAACACAGCGUGCUAAGAAUUUAACAGACAUGGUCCUAGGACAGGAAGAUCCCACUACCGGCAUUUGUUUGAUGGUAAGACUGAGGCUCAGAGCAGAUUACUGACUUCUCUAAGUCACACAGCUACAAAGUGGGAAAGUUAGCAUACUCAGGGCUCCAAAUCCCACCUCUUUUCAUUCACCCAAACCACCUGUAUUUAUCCCCCCAUUAAACCUUCCAUUUAAACACCUUGUCCAGUUAAGCAUAACGCUUUCCAUGAGAAACUGCUCCCAGAACAGUACUUGGUGCCCUGCAGGAACUCCUCAAAGGUCUGGAGAAUGAAUGAAUUUGGAGUGGUCAACAAGGGGUGCACCAGCUGCAACUUUAAAAAUACGGCAAAAAACGAGAAACUCCACAAAACAAACUACACAUGGAAAAAUGGCUCCGUUUUCUCAAAAUAUUUACAGCUUAACAUUUACAGGCCACCCAAAGUGUGGUGGCCAGUGGUCCGUGCCCUGCCGGCCCCACGGGGAGAAGGCGAGAUGAGAGGGCUGUUGGGGUGGGGAGCCGGGUUUCUCCUAGCCUGCUCUCCGGGUUAGUUUUGGCUCAAGGGACGUGGCUAUGAGAAUGACUUCCACCAAAGGCACCCUCCUCCACGGAAACCACAAAGACUGGCAAACCUUUUCUCCAUCGAAGUAGAAAAAAGCGUGCUUGUGUGAGCGUGCAGGAAGAGGAGAGGGAAUGUGGACAGAGAGGGAGGGGUGGUGUAAUAACUCUUGUAGUCAUAAGACUCGCCAGUUGGUAGUUACUUGUAUUCCAGACACUUCCUAAUGCCAGACAAAUGCCCCAAGCCCCGGCAUGUCUGGCUCCGAGAUCUAUUGAACUGAUAGCAGCCGGCUCUUGUGGGGAGAACAGAUCUCUCAGGGAGCCGUGCUCUGCAGCUAAUCAAACACGACAUUGUUCUCGGAAGGAAGAAUGGAAACAUUUGUUUCAGAGUCACAACUUUUUUUUUUUUUAAAGAGGCACCCAAGUUAUUUUAACAAGUUGCUACAAACCUUGGGCUCCCUGAGGUGAGGCUCUUGCAUACAGUGCAUGUACUGUACCAAAAUCCAGGGAGGGAGGGAUCAGAGAGUUAGUCAUUAAAAAAGAAAAAAAGCCCCAGGCACUUCAUGCCUGGAAAUGAUGUCAGACGCAGCCACUCCUCUGUAAGAACUACAACCAAACAAUGCUCGGGCGAUCCGCGCAGCUGCUCGCCAAAUGUCAGCGCCAGCUCGGUCCAAAGAGCUUGAAAGCCACCAAGCUGACGCUGUGUGCUGUACCUUUUUCGCCCACAUUUUCCCCAAGCACUCUCAGGAACCUGGCAACAGGUAACGUGGCAACCUUUGCUUGUAAAAUGGCAAGCAGCAUAAUUUCAGAGAACAAAUGGAUUUUUUUAAAGCCAGCUGCCAUCUCCCCCACGACCUCUCCCCCAACAUCCCAACCGAAGGGCUGAAAAAACAAAAUAUUACCGCUGGCAACCCUACUCUCGAGUACCCCCUGGUGGCCAAUCUCGGAACAUCACUGAUGUACCUUGAAAUCGCUGCUCAGCUCCAAGAGCGAGAAUUAAAGACGCUGAACAGACCCCGUGCCUCCAGCGACAGGUCUGCCCCGGGACGCAGCCUUGCACCUCGGGAGCUCCUGGACACCUCAGUUCCUGCUCCUCUUUCAGGUCUCAGAACUGUACGUCUUCCUAACCCCUUUUACCUUCAGUUAUUCAAACCGUCAAGUUCCCCGCCUUUGCAAAUGGCUUUCCCUCUGUACAGACAGCCCCUCCUCUCUUCAGGUAUGAGCUAGGUGUCACCUCUUCCAGGAAGACUUCUGGAAUGUCCUUCUAAAUGCCUCUCCUAGUGCUCAUUAGAGUGUUCCAUGUUUUAUCUCACAGAGCACUUAUUCCAUUAUAAUUAUCUUCUUAAUUCCCUACUAGACUUUAAGAUCCAAGUGGGCAUUCAGUGAAUAUUUGUUGGAUAAAUAUUGUGCAUCGAAUGUUUCACAUCUUACGCAGUUCAUAUUUCCUUCCUACAAACCAGUUUGGAUAGUUAUUAUAAAGGAUCUUAUCUCUAUUUCUCAAAGCUUUAGUUUUCAUUGUUUUACACUUCAAUAUCUCGUGUUCAUUUGCUUUUCAAAUAUACCCUAAUUAAUUUUCAAACCCACUGGACUCCACUUAAAAAUCAAAACAAUACGAUUUGGAGACAGCUGUUGGAUUUCUGGCUGGUCACUGACCUCUCUGAAUCUCAGAUUUUUCAUAUAUAAAAGGAAGGGCAGAACUCAAUGAUCUCUAAGCUCUCUUCCAGCCUGCUACUCUGAACUUUCUCCUUUUAAGGACCAGAGAGGUUAAAUGACUUUCCCAAGGUCAAACAGCUUUUCAGUGGCAGGAUAUUGUUUGCCUUUCUAAAGAUUUUUGACUGCAAGCAGCAAACAUAAAACAAAAAUGUUUCCUGGAAACUGAUAGUGCCACUAACAAGUUUGUGUGAAAAAGAAUCAUAAAAUUAAAGAAAAAGAGGACUUAAAAAAAACCCCAAAACCCAACAACAUACAUAAUGGAUUCCUGCCUAGGCAGGUGCCAACAUUUUUAAAAACAGUCUCACUACUGUUUGUUAUUAGAUGGGGAGAUGUUCAGAUUUCCUCUUAAAAUUAGAAGUGAAAAAUUAAAGAAUUUUGCACAUCCUGACCCCUUGUAGUGGCCAUUCCAUGGAGGCACAAGGAGCAGAUACAACCUUCCUGAAGGUGCCAACGAGAGCAUCCUUCUGCUGAGGCCCUGGGACCCUGACCCAGCCUGACUCUCAAGAAAAAAGCUGUAAUUCACCAGGAUGAGAUCUGGCCUCAGAUCAUGUAACCCUCCCCCAUCCCUCCCCUGCCAGAACUUUCGGAAGAAGUCCCUGCUAUCAAGGACAGGCUUGCGUCAUUUCCUUACGUUACAGAGUUUGGGUUUAGAUAACCUACUCUAUAAAGUAGAAAGCCAACAAACAGAAAUACACCCCGUUAGGGAAAAAAGGAAACAAAAGUAACAGCGAUAUGACUUAUUUCUUUUUCCUAAUGUGAUAUGUUGUACUCUAUAUUUAUAAGCCAGUGUAUGCAUUUGUUUUUUGCAUUUUUCCCUCUAGACCGACCAGCAGUAGCUCGCCUUUGUUUGACAGAAAAUUAUGCUAAAAAGACAUUGACACUGAAGUGAAUUCUUACUGAAGUACAUUUUAUUUGUCUCUCCUGACAUUUUCACACCUAACAACUUAGCGUUUCCAGAAUACUAUCUUUUACACAUCUUUAUGCCCGUGGCAAAUACUGUUGUUUGCUUUCUCAUGACCGCCCUCCUUGCUAACGAGACCUCAGUGCUGUUGACUUUUCCAGGCAGCCAUGACUUUUCCGGGAAGUGGGCCCCUCCUCGAUUCGGAGGAUGAAUCUUCACUGGUAUACGAGACAAAGGGAUGGGAAAGGAAGUCUGAUGGGAAUGCUUCUGGGAAGGUUACUUCCUUACUUAAAGCAACACAAGGCAGGGACAUCACUUUUCUUCCUCUGGACAUUGUCCUCAGCAAGAGACGGCCUGAACUGGGGCUGCCAUGGGGGGACCACAGAAGCAUCGGCCUAGGAAGACAAACCCACACUGAGGAUAAUGGUGGAGAGAUGGAAAAAAGCUGGUUUUGAUAAAUUUGUUGGCUGCCUUACCUCUAGACUUCCUAUUAUUUGACAAAAUAAAUGCCUUUACCAUCUAA